rnacentral:rRNA from 9 species
AAGCCGGAGGAAGGUGGGGAUGACGUCAAGUCCUCAUGGCCCUUACGGGUAGGGCUACACACGUGCUACAAUGGCAGUGACAAUGGGUUAAUCCCCAAAAACUGUCUCAGUUCGGAUUGUCUUCUGCAACUCGAAGGCAUGAAGUUGGAAUCGCUAGUAAUCGCGGAUCAGCAUGCCGCGGUGAAUACGUUCCCGGGCCUUGUACACACCGCCCGUCACACCAUGGGAGUUGGUUCUACCCGACGACGCUGCGCUAACCUUCGGGGGGCAGGC